UGCGCCUACUCCACCUAUAAUAGACGUAUUUCCGCUGAAUUAAAGGAGGAAACACCCGUCUGACUCACGGUGCGGCAGUGUGGAGACCUGUCGUAAUGCUGCCGGAAUUCUGCUUUCCGGUAUGCGAGAACGCACGCGAAAGGCUCGGUGCGUUCGGAGUCGAAACAGUAUGGCA
rnacentral:ncRNA from 1 species